UACGAGAGGCCCAAACGUUAUUCGGAAUUACUGGGCUUAAAGAGUCCGUAGGCGGCGCGGAAAGUGGGGUGUGAAAGCCCUCGGCUCAACCGAGGAAUUGCGCUCCAAACUACCGUGCUUGAGGAACCUAGAGGUGAGCAGAACUGAUGGUGGUAGCGGUGAAAUGCGUUGAUAUCAUCAGGAAUACCGGAGGCGAAGGCGGCUCACUGGGGGUUUUCUGACGCUGAGGGACGAAAGCCAGGGUGAGCGAACGGG
rnacentral:rRNA from 1 species